AAGAAAAGCUGUGCCGCCGACAAGAAUUGAUGCCUUGCGGCCGAAGGCUCUGGUGACUGAGGAGGCAAAUAAGGAGGCAAUAAGGCCAGCAAUGUAUAGAGAGGACGUGAAGGUGGUUAAUAGUUGGCUGUCAAACUUGCAGUAAUUGCUAAUGUUGGUGUCUUCUUUCAUUUUUCUGUACACUUCUGGGAAGAAUUUCUUCAAAAAUGGCUCCAUUGAUGUCACUCCACCUUAGCAUAAAUAUACACAAUUAAAUUUUUAAGUUUCGUUUGAGAAUUUAAAUCGGCUCUUACUAACCAUACAGAAAGGCUUAGUCAAGACUCAAAGACUGCAAAAUGUUAUUAGAAAGGAUUAAACUAUAAUAUUUUCGAAACGUUUGGUUUAUUCAUUAUUAAUUACGAAAAACAAUGACUCGCGUGAGAAAAAUUCAAACUUUUGGGUGCUUUGAAAUUACAAAGUUUCACAUCGUAGUUCAACACUUCUUAAGUUACAUUGAAAUCUGUCCACACAAAUUAAUUGGCAAUCUAUUAUUAAUCAUAGCAUUUUUCGUCAAAUCCGUCACUAUCAGUUAUCAUGCCAAAGCACGCCAUGUGAGACCAAAGGAUUCAUUGACUCCUAUGGUAUAAUUAAUAACAUACCUUGAAAGAUUGUAAUUAAUAAUUCUCAAGCAAAGAGAUACGUAUUAAUUUCUGCAAGUUAAUUGCCACUAGUUAUCUACAAAAUGAUUGUUAAAAAAAAAAAACUAUGAACUCUAAUACAAUAUUUUUGUCUUUACAGUGCAUGGAAGUUUGUAACGUUUUAUUAUUUUGCCUGCCUGAAACCUGCAUUUCACAAGAUGGACUUACGCACUAUAUAUAUAUCAGUUUACUGUAUAUUUUGAACAUGUAUGUUAAACUCAAAUAUGUUUCUAACUGUAUAUUUUGAACAUGUAUGUUAAACUCAAAUAUGUUUCUAACUGUUAUAAUUCGGUUUUAUUUUAUAAGCAAUCGAACUAAAGUGUUUAGUAAAUACUAAUCGUAAGUCACUAGAUAGCUAAAAUAUUUGAUAAUUAACAUGCACUUUUACUUGGCACAUAGGAUAAAGAUUUUCAAAAGUUUGGUUGAUUUUCUAAAAACAUUCCACUAGCUAUGUAUACGUUAAUCCAAGAUCAGUGAUGGGCUUGAUAGAAUGAAGCGACAAGAAGAAAUUGGAGAAUUUAACCAAUCAAUAAAUUUCGAGCUGAGGAACAAAGAGAUAUACAAAUACAAUUUAAGUAGAUAAACAGACCUGAAAUUCCAAUAUCAUAUCCGAAAAUAAGACCUCCAGUGGCAGCAACAAUACAAGACAAGACAACAAAUGCAGUCAUCUUCCCAUUGUAAUACUGCCCACCUUCACUAGUUAUUGCAAAGCCUGCUGCCAUAUCGACUGCGGAUAGCUAAGCUGAAUCUUCAAAACUGAUCAGGAGUACUGAUCAUAGCAACUUAUAUAAAGAAGAGAAAAGAGACAGCGGUGUGUGUGUGUGUGUGUUGAAGAUUAAUUGCAGAAGGCGAAGGCUUAAAAGUACCUGCAGUCUUUCUUGACUAGUAGCCGUAUACGCUAAUAUCAGCACCGUUAGUCAUGCAUGGCUUUGGAGUUAUGAUCAACAUGGCAGCGUGUGCUUUGAGGCCAAGGUCCGUGUUCAAAUUUCACUAAUGUACGUGCCUUGAUAAAUAAAUAAACAAAUUAAGAAAAUAAAAACACGUGGCAAUCUAUGCGUGGGGUUGUUGAAUAUUGAAGAACUAAUCAUUGUGAAAGCAUAUGGAGUCAAGAUAAAAAUAGCAGCUGCUAAGUACCUCAUUGGAAAAUUUAAGAUGUUGUGCUUCAAGAAAUCCAUGUAAGUAUAAUAUAUUGGAUCAGUAACCCAGAAAUAUCAUUGCUUUGCGCUUAUAGCCAUCAAUUGAGGUGUUGUGUACUGCUCUGGAAGAAGAGUCACUUGCUAAUUAUCAAAAGAUUAAAAUAGCGAAUGUUACCAAAUAUCUAGUUAUUGAGCUUUCGAAGUCAAGUAGAAUCACCGGAUUUUUAAGCGCAGAAUCUCUUACAAAAUAAUCAACUAUGAUGAAUUGACAAGUCAAAGUUGGUGUGCAGUCUGUUUGAUUUUGCUUAGAGCCCCAAAAUUUGCCAUUAAUAGUCAAAAUAACAGAAUUCAUAGCAUAAAUAUUAAAACUUGGAAGUCUAAUAAUUUUUUACUACCAAGUUAAAAAUUUUUAAAAAAAAAUUAAGAAAGGACUUCUAAAAGACAAAUUUGACUUUGAUUCACUAGUCUGUUACUAAUGUAUAUACACGUGUGUGUGUGUGUGUAUAAUCAUUCUCAUAUGCGGGCGUCUUCAUUUUUUCUUAAUGCGGAUACGCUUUAAACUAUGAGCUUAACAAACUUAUUUUUGAAUGAAAUAUAAAACUCUGUGAUUGAAUAGUAUUAAAAAUUAACUCUCUUAAACUGCAUGUCUUAAAAAUAUAUUCGCAUGAAUAAAAAAAAAAAAAAGUGGCUGCCCGCACUAUAGAAGGACUCUAUAUACAUAGAGUCAUUUUUUCUAUUUUUUUUUCCUGCGAACAUAUUUCUAAGUCAUGCCACUUAAUAAAGUUAAUUUUUGAAUGUAUAUACUCCUUGUCUUUCUUUCUUUUUUUUUUUCAUUUAUUUUUCACUUUACUAAAAUAAAAGAUUUCUUGAUUGAAUAAUUACUUUAUAAAUAUCAUGCCUUAAGAUACCAUGUUCAUCCUGAUAAUAAUGGCUGCUGUGAAGAAUCAACACAUACUAACCAAGAAGCACACGUAAUAAUACAGUUAACAUGCCGAGGAAGCCGGCCGCAGUAUCUGUGAAGCAAAAUAAGUCAGCAGAUGAAGUGGCAACAGUGACAUGGCCAAACAACUGCACAGAGCAACCUCAGCAAUCAGCAUAUGCAUAGGAAAGAAUCCUAGAUGAUAACUGAUGGCUGGAUUUGUGCCAGCAGAGGCUGAAUUUAGUGAGCCGAUCUUAUCUUACGGCUUGCCCUGUUUGUAUGCAUAUACAAACAACUUUUGUAUUCACCGUUUCAUUUUUCAAGCAUCAUCAAUGAAAUGGUAACAUUUUUCUCUGAUGUUUGCUCUGCAAAUAUUUGCCAUAUUAAGCUAAGUUUAAUAACUCAAGUCGUCCACUACCCCACAAAACCAAUGCUCCCUCUGCCCGCUAUUCAAAUAAGUAUUUAUUUUCUUUUAUUUUCUUUUAUAAUAUUUUAAUAAAAUUAAGAUAUUUUUAUAAAAGGGAUUUUAUUUACAAGUGUUCUCGAGAAACCAUUGUUUAUUCGUUUUGAGAAUGCAUCAUGGCUGAAAGAGUGAAUAAUUAUUGGUGGGAACUGAGAAGUCUGUGGGAGUGCAGGUUGAAAUUGGCAAAUAACGGCUUCAAGAAGAGCUGUAGAGGACACACGUAAUUUAUAUGGAAGCAUUCCGAGAUAAUACCAAUAACACCAUAACAACUUUAACACUACUGAAUUAUGGAAGAUCUCAAGAUUUGCUACAGCAGUAAUCAUAGUUAUGUCUCAAAAAGAAGUUUCUUUCUGCAUUUUCUUCGUUUUAUUCUCGGUUUUCAAGUAGCUCUACUAUAGUACCUGUUGGCGUAACAGGCGCUUCUGAUUUUCUCUGAAAGUACUUCAGGUGUAUCUACACUAGAAGUAAAUACACAACUGUUAAAAAUUUAGCUAAUCACUUGUAAGUACUUCCAAACCUUCAUUAAAAUUUGUAUCAUACCGCUCCUUGUAUCUUACUUUCUUCCCCUACAUCAUCAAAAAAUUUCCUCCAAAACCAAUGCUCUCUCCAAACUUUAUCCAUCAGCUCAAUUGGAACAUUUUUAGUCUCAGGCAGAAAAAAGUGCGCAAAUGUAGUCAUCACUGUCAGCCAUCCUCCAAAGAAGAAGAAAACCCCCGCCUUAAAAUGGCAAAGCAUGGCUAAAAAUGUUUGAGCAACUAAGGAAGUAAACAAAAGACCAACAGCAACAGUAAUGCUUUGCCCUGCUGAUCUAAUCUCCAAUGGAAAAAUUUCACUUGGAACCAACCAUCCCAAUGGCCCCCAUGAAAAACCAAACCCAGCUUUGUAUACACAAAUUAGAACUAAAAUUAAGUAAGCAUAGCCUAUGCUGAAUCCUCCGUGAUCACCAAGUUGAGCUGCCAUGAUUGAUCCAAUCAUUACUUGUGACACUAGCAUCUGUAUUCCCCCAAGUAGAAACAAUACUUUCCUGCCAAGUUUAUCUGCUAGAAUCAUUGGCAAGAUUGCUGAAACUGUACCUAUACCACCAGUGACAAGUGCAGACAUCAGUAAUGAUGUAUUUUCGCUUAGCUUAAUGGUCCUAAAGAGUACAGGAGCAUAGAAUGAAAUGAUAUUGACUCCUGUCACUUGUUGAAAAAAUGGUAUCAGUAUUGCCAUUACUAGCUGAGGUCUGUAUUUUCUUUGUAUGAUUUUCUUAAAUGGGUGGUUAAUGUUUUUUGAAACAGAGCCUGCUCUGAUGAGAUCAUCGAGUUCUGCUUGAACAUCAGCUGUGCCGCGCACACGCUGCAGCAUCUUUUCAGCCUUUUGGUAGUCAUUGGUGCGCUGGAUUAUGCUGUUGGGUGUUUCGGGCAGGAAAAGUCCACCUAUUGUUAAUAUUGAUGCAGGAGCAGCAGCCAUUGCCAGGGAGAUUCUCCAGCCCCAGCCCCCCUUGAUCUUUUGGGUGCCGUAAUUGAGAAGAUUAGCGGAUAGGACACCAAUGGCAACACAUACUUGGAAGCCAAUGGUGAAUGCUCCUCUGUGUUUUGGUGGUGCCAUUUCUGAGAGAUAUAGCGGCACUGACUGCAAACAACAAAAUCAAAACUAAUUGAAAAUUGUUCAACAAAUCAAACAGUUUGAAAAUAAAAAUAGUUAAAACACUUACUUGGUUUGUAAAACCAAUCCCAACACCUAGCAACACACGCCCAAAUAUCAGCAUGUAAAUGUUUAAUGCAGCGCCCCCUAUGGCUGAACCAGCAAGAAAUGCCGUGCCGCCGACCAGGAUUGAUGCCUUGCGGCCGAAGGCUCUGGUGACUGUGGAGGCAAAUAAGGAAGCUAUGAGGCCAGAAAUGUACAGAGAGGACGUGAACGCGGCUAAUAAUUGGCUGUCAAACUUGCAAUAAUUGCUUAUCUUGGUGUCUUCUUUCAUCUUUCUGUACACUUCCGGGAAAAACUUCUUCAAAAAUGGCUCCAUUGAUGUCACUCCACCUUAAUCACAUACAAAUUCACAAAUUCACAAUUGUAAGGAACCCUGAAAGCUAACCCCAAUUCAAGGUCUUUGAUCGGCUGGGGAAUAAAGAUAACUAGAGGUUUUAAACCAUCAGGUGAUUGAUGAGUUAUAUGUAAAUCAUGACGGUGAUAUAUAUGAGCAGAAAAAAAAAAAAACCUGAAAUUCCAAUAUCAUAGCCGAAUAUAAGCCCACCGGUGGCAGCAACAAUACAAGACAAGACAACAAAUACAGUCAUCUUCCCGUUGUAAUACCGCCCGCCUUCACUAGUUAUUGCUAAGCCUGCUGCCAUAUUGGCUGCUGCUUUAUCUUCAAAACUAAUCAGCACUCACAGGUCACAGCAAGAGAGAAAGGAGAGUGAGAAAAGUUAGAAUUUAUUUGAAUCUUGUAAAAAACUGUUAAUCAAUCAAUAAAUAGUAUAUUAUUUAAGAUAAAAUUUAGGAUAAAAAAUUUAAAAUAUUUCUCCUUUUUCUAGCAGCAUUAUGACCUUGUAAUCAAGGUAGCCGUAAGCGGGGUUUGUGGUUGUUGACUGUUGACCACUAAUUAAUGCGAGGUGCUACGUGUAAUUCACAACUGCUUUGAUAAAGAGUCAGCGGCCAAUUAUCAAAGUAAAACUGCUGAGUCCUACCAAACGUUUAGUCAUCAAGUCAAAGAGGACCUUUUUUCUAACACCUUUGUUGAUCUAAAUGCAUGUAGGUCCGGGAGAAAAAUCUUCAUUUCACUAAAAUAAAGAUCAAAUGAAAAGUAAGUGUGUGUGUAUAUAUAUACUUUGUUGAAAAAUAAAAUAAAAUAUUUAAAUAUAUAUGUAUUUAUUUUAAUCUUUUAACUUAAUCCUCAUUUCGAUAAAAUGAAUAUCAUUUCUCUUCCAUGUUGCCAUGCCCAUCCACUUUGCCCACGAAAUUCUUUUAAAUAAAUCAAUGUUCCUCAAAACGCCAUUCAAAAAAAUAAAUUUUUUGUUAUUAAAAUAUUUUUUUGUUAAAAGGAAAGUGAUUAUUUGCUUCAGGUGUUAUUUACUUCAAGGGGGCUGUUAUUCAAUGCGUUUAACCAUGGCAUGUCUAUAGAUUUUGAUGGACUUGGCAGCUUUUCUCAAGAAAAGGAUUUUGAUGGGCUUAGUGCAUAUAUUUAAACACAGCAUAAAAGAAUCUCCGACAAAAUAAUUACAGCGAAUUAAUAAGUCAAAUAAAAUGCAGAGCACAAAUAUUGAAAGUUUGAAACUUACAGGCAAAAUUAAGUAGAAAUCGAGUCUUUUUUCUUUUUUUUUCUUUUAAAUAAAGUAAGGAGUGGGUAAAGACUAAAUAAUUUUUAUUUUAUUUUCCCCCCUUACUACACCCAUAAUCGAAUUUGGAUGAUCAGUAACUACAAGUUUUAUGCUGUUACCAACCCGAUUACACCCUUGGGGACAAAUUAGGCCUUUUACAUCUUACCCUCUUCAUCCACGUCACCCACAUAUUUCUUCCAAAACCAAUGUUGUCUCCAGAUUUUAUCCAUCUGCUCAAUCGGCACAUUCUUAGUCUCUGGCAAAAACAAGUGCAUAAAUGUAGUCAUCACCAUUACCCAUCCUCCAAAGAAGAAGAAAAUCCCUGCCUUAAAAUGGCAAAGCAUCGCUAAAAGUGUUUGCGCACUGAAGAAAAUAAACACAAGGGUAACUGCAACGGUAAUGCUUUGCCCUGCUGAUCUAAUCUCCAAUGGAAAAAUUUCGCUCGGAACCAACCAUGCCAAUGGCCCCCAUGAAUAUGAAAACCCGGCUGAAUAUACACAUACCAGGACUAAAAUUAAGUAAGCAUAGCCUUGGCUCAAUCCCCCGUGAUCACCGAGCUCAGCAGCCAUGAUUGAACCAAUAAUUACUUGUGAAACAAGUAUCUGUAUACCCCCAACUAAAAACAAUAUUUUCCUGCCAAGUUUAUCGACUAGAAUCAUUGAUGUGAUUGUUAAAACUGUACCUAUGCCACCAGUCACGACUGCGGACAAGAGUAGUGAUGUACUUUCACCUAGUUUAAGCGUCCUGAGUAGUACAGGAGCGUAUAACCCAAUGAUAUUGAUCCCUGUCACUUGUUGGAAAAAUGGUAUCAGUAUCGCCAUUACUAGCUGAGGCCUGUAUUUCCUUUGUAUGAUUUUGUUAAAUGGGUGGUUGAUAGUUUUGAGAUGGAGCUUGCUCUGAUAAGAUCAUUGAGUUCAGCUUCAACAUCAGCUGUGCCGCGCACACGCUGCAGCAUCCUUUUAGCCUCUUGGUGGUCAUUGCUGCGCUGGAUUAUGCUGUUUGGUGUUUCUGGCAUGAAAAGUGCACCUAAUGUUAGUAUUGAAGCAGGCGCUGCAGCCAUCGCUAGGGAUAUUCUCCAGCCCCAAUCGCCCUUGAUCUUUUGGGUGCCGUAGUUGAGAAGAUUAGCGGAUAAAACACCAAUGGCAAUACAUACUUGAAAGCCAAUGUUGAAUGCUCCUCUGUGUUUUGGUGGUGCCAUUUCUGAGAGAUAUAGUGGCACUGACUACAACCAACAAAUUAAAACUAACGGAUCAACAAACCAAAUAAUAAUAAUAAUAAUAAUAGUCAAACACUUACUUGGUUUGCAAAACCAAUGCCAACACCAAGCAACACACGCCCAAAUAUCAGCAUGUAAAUGUUAAAUGCGGCUCCUCCCAGGGCUGAACCAGCAAGAAAAGCUGUGCCGCCGACAAGAAUUGAUGCUUUGCGGCCAAAGGCUCUGGUGACUGAGGAGGCAAACAAGGAAGCAAUAAGGCCAGCGAUGUAUAGAGAGGAGGUGAAGGUGGUUAAUAGUUGGCUGUCAAACUUGCAGUAGUUGCUAACUUUGGUGUCUUCUCUCAUCUUUAUGUACACUCCUGGGAAGAACUUUUUUAAAAAUGGCUCCAUUGACGUCACUCCACCU
rnacentral:lncRNA from 1 species